GACGUAGGGCGCGAGCGUUGUCCGGAUUUAUUGGGCGUAAAGAGCUCGUAGGCGGUUUGUCGCGUCGUCCGUGAAAACUCACAGCUUAACUGUGAGCUUGCGGUCGAUACGGGCAGGCUAGAGUUCGGUAGGGGAGACUGGAAUUCCUGGUGUAGCGGUGGAAUGCGCAGAUAUCAGGAGGAACACCGGUGGCGAAGGCGGGUCUCUGGGCCGUUACUGACGCUGAGGAGCGAAAGCGUGGGGAGCGAACAGG
rnacentral:rRNA from 1 species